rnacentral:rRNA from 1 species
UUAUCUUAGUGGCGGACGGGUGAGUAACGCGUGGGUAACCUGCCUUAUACAGGGGGAUAACACUUAGAAAUAGGUGCUAAUACCGCAUAAGCGCACGGGGCUGCAUGGCCCAGUGUGAAAAACUCCGGUGGUAUAAGAUGGACCCGCGUCUGAUUAGCUUGUUGGCGGGGUAACGGCCCACCAAGGCGACGAUCAGUAGCCGGCCUGAGGGGGUGGACGGCCACAUUGGGACUGAGACACGGCCCAAACUCCUACGGAAGGCAGCAG